CCCGCUCAGAAACUUAAAGGAAUUGACGGGGGCCCGCACAAGCGGUGGAGCAUGUGGUUUAAUUCGAUGAUACGCGAGGAACCUUACCUGGGCUCAAAUGUAUGUUGACGUAUUCUGAAAGGGAUACUUCUUCGGACAAUAUACAAGGUGCUGCAUGGUUGUCGUCAGCUCGUGCCGUGAGGUGUCGGGUUAAGUCCCAUAACGAGCGCAACCCUCAUCAUUAGUUACCAUCAGGUAAGGCUGGGGACUCUAAUGAAGACUGCCAUCGUAAGAUGUGAGGAAGGUGGGGAUGACGUCAAAUCAGCACGGCCCUUACGUCCGGGGCGACACACGUGUUACAAUGGGUGGUGCAAAGGGCAGCUACCUGGCGACAGGAUGCUAAUCUCCAAAACCACUCUCAGUUCGGAUCGGAGUCUGCAACUCGACUCCGUGAAGCUGGAUUCGCUAGUAAUCGCGCAUCAGCCACGGCGCGGUGAAUACGUUCCCGGGCCUU
rnacentral:rRNA from 1 species